AUGGGGCUUUGCAUGUCCAGCGGCAGCGCGGUGCCGGAGGCGGCGGUGUGGGCAAAGGGGCAGCCUGCCUCGACGGCUAUGGUACUGCUUCCGAUGGGUGAGCUGCGGGAGUACCCGCGCCCGGCCACAGCGGGCCAGGCGCUCGAGGACUCAGUGGCUGGGGACGCCAGCUGGUUCCUGUGCGACGCCGACGAGAUGGGGUUCGAGGGCCCCGUGGCCGCGGUGGCUGUGGCAGAGGAGCUACGCCCGGGGCAGAUAUAUUUCGUGCUCCCCGCUGAGGCUCGACGGAACGGCCUCCAGCGCGAGGACCUCGCCGCUCUCGCUGUCAGGGCGUCCGUGGCGCUCGUUAAUAAGGCCAACGCCGGCGGCGGACGACGGAGGCGAGCCGGCGCGGUGGCGCCGCUCAUUUUCGCCCCACCCCAGGAGGUAGUCGAGACCAUCGCUUACAAGAACGUGCCGGCGCUGGCGGCAAAGAGGCGGCCGGUGGCGCGUGCGAAGAGUGCUGGGAGGAUGCAGCCGCGCUUCGCACCCGAUCUGACCGCCAUCCCUGAGUGCGAGUGA
rnacentral:rRNA from 1 species